GCUGGCUCCUUCGGGGUCCGCAUUGUAAUUUGCAGAGGAUGUUUCGGGAGCAGCCCCCAUCUAAGUGUCCUGGAACGGACCGUCAUAGAGGGUGAGAAUCCCGUAUGGGAUGGGGUGUCUGCGCCCAUGUGAAACUCCUUCGACGAGUCGAGUUGUUUGGGAAUGCAGCUCUAAAUGGGUGGUAAAUUUCAUCUAAAGCUAAAUAUUGGCCGGAGACCGAUAGCGCACAAGUAGAGUGAUCGAAAGAUGAAAAGCACUUUGAAAAGAGAGUUAAAAAGCACGUGAAAUUGUUGAAAGGGAAGCGCUUGCGAUCAGACUCGCCUUGGGGGUUCAGCCGGCAUUCGUGCCGGUGUACUUCCCCCAGGGCGGGCCAGCGUCGGUUUGGGUGGCCGGUCAAAGGCCCUUGGAAUGUAACGCCUCUCGGGGCGUCUUAUAGCCAAGGGUGCCAUGCGGCCUACCUGGACCGAGGAACGCGCUUCGGCUCGGACGCUGGCAUAAUGGUCGUAAGCGACCCGUCUUGAAACACGGACCAAGGAGUCUAACAUCUACGCGAGUGUUCGGGUGUCAAACCCGUGCGCGCAGUGAAAGCGAACGGAGGUGGGAACCCUUUGGGUGCACCAUCGACCGAUCCUGAUGUCUUCGGAUGGAUUUGAGUAAGAGCGUAGCUGUUGGGACCCGAAAGAUGGUGAACUAUGCCUGAAUAGGGCGAAGCCAGAGGAAACUCUGGUGGAGGCUCGCAGCGGUUCUGACGUGCAAAUCGA
rnacentral:rRNA from 1 species